rnacentral:pre_miRNA from 1 species
AUUAUUCACUCUCCCUCAAGGGCUUCUGUUGGUUUUCUGGUCGACCGAAUGACCAAGUACCUACACGGAAGACCUUAGGGAGAGUGGAAAA